CCGCCUCUGUAUUACUUACCAGGAAUGGCCAGGCACUUGUCACCAGGAGCAGAAGGGUUGAGAGCUUACGCCCCGACGUGAGGCCCACCUGUACUGGGGAGCUGGCUCUGCCACGUCCUAAGUCCUUGCUCAAAAUGCCAGCCAGGGGGAGUUGCAUGGAUCUGUGCGUGGAACCGAAGGGAGGAGGGCAGCUGCUCCUUGGAGAAUCUGACCUUCACAGCUUCUGGAGCAGAAAGACUGUUUCUACAGAAGAGCCCAAGCAAACCUCUGACCUCCAGGCUCAGAAAAGCAGAAAAACCAGAUGAAGCCACACCAUCGCUGACAUGAGGACCAGAUGCACUGAUCAGCUACCUGGUAGCCUAGUGCUGACCAAUUAAUAGAGACCAUGACCCUGAUUCUGUCCCCUUAUUUUUAUGAAUCAGCAUAUUAAAGAACACACCUAGAAAGCUGAUUAAUAUUCUAUUGAGAUCCUCCCUUGAGGCCUCCCCUAAAAUCCCUGUCUUUAGAAAAUGGAUAAAAACUUUUAAGACAAAGGACCCAGUGCAUGCUCGGUCUCUAGAGCACACCCACAUCACCUUUGCUUUCUUUCUCCUAAGCUCAAAAGGUUCCCACGAGGUUUGCAACCAGGGGAGCAGUGGGCAGUGGCAGCUCAUCCUGGUCUAACCCCCUAAACCUGUCUCCAAGGGGCCUUCUUUUGCCUCUGUAACUUGUUUCCUGAGUCCACACAACCCAGCUGGCUCAUUUCUGCCUCUGACUUUCUUUCUAAAAGGCCAAGGCAGUUCUCUGAACAGCUCUCUCGAGUCUUCUCUUUGGGUGAACUUUUGCUUUGCAAGUUAAAUGAAGUUUCUUUGUGCUAGAGUUCUUGGCUCUGAAUUCUUUCUUUGCCAAACUCAAGAACCGAAAGCCGAAAUCACCAGUAACAAGACAAAGUUGAAGUGGAGCAUGGUGUAGGAAAGAGAAAGGAAUUAACAUUAUAGAACUCCUAUGUGUAAGGUGCACGUAUGUAUCUGGUCUCAUUUAAGCCUCACAGUGAUGCAAUCUGGUAGGUUUUAUUAUUUUCAAUUUUGAAGAUAAGAAUACUGAAACUCAGGAGAGUUAAGUAAUUUUUCCCAAAGUUUUAUGCUAAUAGGUGGUUAAAAUAUAAUAAGAAGGGAUUUACACCCAGGUCUUCUCAUGCAAAUAUGAGUACACUUUGCAUUAUACUAGAUUGCCUCUCAAGUCAUUAGGGAGCAGAUAUAUUAAGUUUAACCUCAGAUGGCAUCUGGAGUAUGUGCUAUUUGAGUGAUUAAUGAGAAGUGCAUCAAAGCAGAUAAGUGAUGGCAAGAUAGUCAUAAACUUUCCACCUCACUACAUCCCAUGGGCCUUCCCCUCUGACCUUUUAUUGUCUUCUGUAAUAUUCAUUCAUUCAGUAAAUAUUUAUUAAAUACUUGCUAUGUGCCAAGCAAUGGUCUAUACCCUGGUACUAUAGUAGUGAAUAAAACAAAGUCCCUAUCUCCAAGGAGAUUUCAUUCUCUAAAUAUUUUAUGUGACAUUGGGAGAAAACAGAAUAUUUCAAAUUUAGAGAGCUCAGAUUAAAGUUAUGGCUUCAUCAUAGUCUAGCUGAGAACUUUGGAGAAGGAGCACAUUUAAACUUUCUGAACCUCAAUUUCUAUAUUUGGAAUAGGAAUAACUACCCAUCUCACAAAAUAUGAUAUUGUGAGGCCCAAAUAAGAUGAAAAUAGUUUGAACCAUGAAGCACUAGAUAUUGUGUUUUAUUAAAUCUAACAUGCCAUUGAUUUUAAGAAACACUAUUAUUUUAUGUUCCAUUGAGAAAAAAAUUCCACCAAUUAUGAUAUGCCAUUGAUUAUAAAGCCCAUUCCGAAUUCAGAAUGCCAAAAUGUGGAAAGAAAUUAUGCAUCUUAGAAUAGUUAAAAUAUGGUAUAAGAGAGCUAUUAUUAUCAUUCUGUAUGGUGCAUGGCAUAUGGUACAUGUUCAGAGAGGAAUGGAUUUAGCAAGAUACAUUAAAAUAGAUCAAUAAGAUAAGUGAUAUAAUAUUUCUUAUAGAUAUUCAAGGGUUUAUCUAUCUUUGGAUACAAUUAUUUUUUCCAGUGUUUCACUAUGAGAAUUUUUAAAUAUCUAGAAAAGAUGAAAUAAUUUUAUAGUUAACACCCAUAUACCCACCAUCUGGAUUCCAUAGUUAACCUUUUCCUGUACUUUCAUUAUUAGACAGUUAUACCAAUUAUUUUUUUAUAUAUUUCAAAGUAAAUUGCAAAUAUCUAUACACUUUACCCCUAUACAUUUUAGUAUGUACAUCAUUAAAGUUCAAUAUUUGGUUAUAUUUUCAUUUGUUUUUUUGAGGUAAAUUUUACAUUCAACAAAGUGCAUACACCUUACAUGUACCAUUCAAUUGACAAAUAGAUACACUUGUGUAACACAAAUCCUUAUCAAAAUACAGAAUAUUCCCAUCAACCCAGCAAGUUCCUUUAUGAUUCUUAUUCCUUCCCCACAACUUCAGAGGCAACUACUGUUCUGAUUCUUUUUCGCACCAUAAUUAGUUUUGCCUGUUUUAGCACUUCAUAUAAAUGGAAUUGCACAUGUACUCUUAUAUAAUCUUUUACUCAGCACAAUGUUUUAAAGAUUCACCCACACUCUUAGGUGUUUCAGAAUUAGUUCUUUAUUGUGUCGGUGAGUAUUCUAUUGUAUGAAUAUACCUCAGUUUGUUGAGCAAUCAGAGCUGCCAUGGAUGUUUUGUAUAAGUCUCUUUGUGGUAAUGCUCUCAUAGCUCUUGGCUACAUACCUAGGAGUGGAAUUUCUAGGCCAGAGGGUACGUGCAUGUUUAGUUUUACUAGAAACUGUCAGACCUUUUCCCAAAGUGAUCGUAUCAUCAACCACUGUGUAUGAGAGUUUAGGUUAUUUUGUGUCCUCCAAACAUUUUAUGUCGUCAGUCUGUUUUAAAUUUUAGCCACUCAUGUGGGUAGCAGUAUCUCAUUGCUGCGUUAAUUUGUAACUCUCUGAUGAAUAAUGAUAUUGAGCAGCUUUAAACAACUCUUCCUUUGUGAAAUGUCUGUUCAAGUAAAUCCACAUUGAGGUGUUUUUUUAAUUCUUGAGGUAUGGGAGUGCUUUACAUAUUCUUGAUACUAAUUUCUUGUCAGAUAUAUCUUUGUGAAAUAUUGUAUAUCAGUUUGUGGAUUUCUUCUGUAUUUCAUGAACAUUGUCUUUUUAUAAGCAAGAGAUUUACAUUUUGGUAUAAUCUAGUUAUUCACUUUUGAAAUGGUAAUUGCUCCUUUUAUCCUAAGAAGCUGUUGCUUACCCUAAGUUGUGAAGAUUCCUUCCCUUUUUCUUCCAGAAAAUUUAUGUUUUCAUUUUUACAUUUAGGCCUGUGAUCCCUCUUAAAUCAUCAUGGAAAGUAGGGGGUCAUGGUUCAUAGUUUUUCCAUUUGGGUACCCAGUUCUAGUACCUAAUCUAUUAUAAAUGUAUUAUAUACAUUUUUGUAAGAUCCCUCAAAUGUUUUUUGGAACAAGCAAUAAAUGGAUUCUGCCCAACGGCCAGCGGAUGGCCUCAUGAGUCCCCUUGAGCGCGGUGAUGAGUAAUAUUCCCUCAGCAUAGCCAUGUCCAAAUGUGACCCCCUCCCUCCCAGUAAAAAGUGCUCUGUGUUCCCUUUCGCCUUGGGGCCUUGUUAGUCACAUCGCUGCCUCUCAGAAGUGGGGAGAGGCUGCUGUGUACUCACUUGCCCAUGAUGGUUAGCUUGUUCCUACCUGGUGUUUGGGGAUGGAGAUGAGGCAGGAAGAAGCGUAGGAUUGCCUGUGGGGUCUGGAGCAAUCUCAGUGGGUGUCUAUAGGCCAACAGGGCUCAUCUUUUUGAAGGUAGAGAUCCAGCGGUUCUCAACCUCUGGGUCGCAAACAAUGAAAAUACAUCCUGCAUAUCAGAUACUCACA